rnacentral:rRNA from 1 species
AGAGUUUGAUCCUGGCUCAGGAUGAACGCUGGCGGCGUGCUUAACACAUGCAAGUCGAACGAAGCAUCUAAGAGCGUAGACUUCGGUCUACAAUUUUUGAUGACUGAGUGGCGGAUGGGUGAGUAACACGUGAGGAACCUACCUCGGACAGGGGAAUAACGGCAGGAAACUGCUGCUAAUGCCCCAUGAUCUACCGAUGAAGCCUUUUAUUGGUAGCAAAGAUUUAUCGGUCUGAGAUGGUCUCGCGUCCCAUUAGCUAGUUGGUGAGAUAACAGCUCACCAAGGCAACGAUGGGUAGCUGAACUGAGAGGUUGACCGGUCACAUUGGGACUGAGAUACGGCCCAGACUCCUACGGGAGGCAGCAGUGGGGAAUAUUGCACAAUGGGCGCAAGCCUGAUGCAGCGACGCCGCGUGGGGGAUGAAGGCCUUCGGGUUGUAAACUCCUUUCGCUAUCGACGAAGCCUUCGGGUGACGGUAGGUAGAUAAGAAGCACCGGCUAACUACGUGCCAGCAGCCGCGGUAAUACGUAGGGUGCAAGCGUUGUCCGGAAUUACUGGGCGUAAAGAGCUCGUAGGUGGUUUGUCGCGUCGUCUGUGAAAUCCCGGGGCUUAACUUCGGGCGUGCAGGCGAUACGGGCAUAACUUGAGUGCUGUAGGGGAGACUGGAAUUCCUGGUGUAGCGGUGAAAUGCGCAGAUAUCAGGAGGAACAGCGAUGGCGAAGGCAGGUCUCUGGGCAGUAACUGACGCUGAGGAGCGAAAGCAUGGGUAGCGAACAGGAUUAGAUACCCUGGUAGUCCAUGCCGUAAACGGUGGGCGCUAGGUGUAGGGGGCUUCCACGUCUUCUGUGCCGUAGCUAACGCAUUAAGCGCCCCGCCUGGGGAGUACGGCCGCAAGGCUAAAACUCAAAGGAAUUGACGG